GAGGAAGACUCAUGUGAAGAGCAGCCCCCAAAUUUAGUAAUUGAGAACUCCGCGGUUCAACGUGAUAAAACACCGUUACCAGACCAAGGGGAAAACUUUAUAAAUGAUACACAGUUCACGACUCCGAAUGACGCUACACCUGAAACUUUCAUUCAUGAUUCCAAAGCCCACAGCCGUGGAAAUGUGCGUCGUCGUAAACGGCAAAUAUGAAGCGACGAGGACUGUAACUUUAUAGAACAGUGUUAAUUUUUUUUUUAGAAAUGUAGGCAACCACGACUGAUAACAUUGAAGUCCGCGACAGCGUCAAAUCUCCACGCCUGAAACGUGAAGAAAUGGAAGUGGUAUGGUUUUUAUAUACAUUAUAUAUGAAAUCUAAUUUUCAGUUUUAUCACUUUACGAAACUUCCACUGAUAAGUACCAAGCUCGCGUCGUACUUCCGCGUCUUAAUAUCAGCACUAGCGACAUUUGUCAACCGGUACGUAAUUUGUGUACUUUAUACAUGAAAUGUAAUUUUUGUUUUUGAUUUACUAUUCUAGAUUAAAAUUCCACGCAAGAAGAAAAAGAAAAUAAUCAGUUUCGUCAAAUGAUGACAUUGAGUAAGGACGCAAAGAAAUUGAAAGUUAUAUCUCUGAAGAAAACAGUCGUCCAAACUUUAGUUAAUACCAAAACGGUUCAUCUUCGUAGCAUGUGUUAUCUUUUCAAAGAAAAUUAGGCAUUAACAUAAGGAAUAUUGUUAAAACAGUUAUGAGUAUACCUGAAUUGUCAACUAUAUCUUUGCUAUGCAAAACCUUAACAGCAGCCUGAUUACAUAGCUUAAGUAGAUAGGCUAAGGAGGUAAAAUGUGACCUCGUUAAAUUUUUAGUAGAGCAAGGGGUCCUUACAUCACAGAUGAUGUUGGUCUUUGUGCGAUGGCAAGUUAAACAUUUGGUUUAAUGAAUGGUGUUGGGGAUCGGAGAAAAGUUGAUACUUACAUGUGUUCAUUGAUGGUUUAUUUGACUUACUUUCCCUUAAUUUAAAAGACAUCUAUGAUAAAUUUGAUCAACCUAGUUUGACGAAAUAAAAAAUUAACUAAUCAAUGUUAUUUUAUUUAGAUGACUGAUAAUGCUCAUGUAAUAAAUGUCGGAGUGAAGAUAAAACAAUGUCCAUCAUCCGAUGUGAUUGAAGAAGAAUUUUGAAACUGUUUCAAGUAAUUUGAUUAAUACUCACACGUUAUCAAUUGAUUAAUUUUUAAUUUGUCUAGAUGUGGGUCGAAAAAUUAUCGCAAUUUCAAAUUUUGUCAAAAAAUUUUCAAAUGUGGUAAGUGAGGCUGCAAAAUUAUAUAUUUUGCAAGCCUAAUUAGUUUAAAUCUAAAUUUUUAUUUCUGUUUGUGAACUUUUUUAGAAACCAGAGGAUUCUUCAAUAGCAAGUCUUUACUUUCAAAUUGAUUAUGUAAGAGAAGAGGAAGACGAGUUCGAAGAAGAAGAAGAUAAAAAUGGAAAACAGAGAGACUUCAAUAUUGAACUGAUAUUUAAGUGUUUAAGUUUUUUCCAACAAGAAGAGUGAAAAUGGAGAGGAAGAAAAAGA